rnacentral:rRNA from 1 species
AAACGCUCGUAGUCGGAUUUCGGGGCGGGGCGGCCGGUCUGCCGAUGGGUAUGCACUGGUGGUCGCGUCCUUCCUUCCGGAGACCGUGCCUACUCUUAACUGAGCGGGGUCGGGAGACGGAUCGUUUACUUUGAAAAAAUCAGAGUGUUUCAAGCAGGCAACUCGCUCUUGCAUGGAUUAGCAUGGGAUAAUGAAAUAGGACUUUGGUGCUAUUUUGUUGGUUUCGAACACCGAAGUAAUGAUUAACAGGGACAGUCAGGGGCACUCGUAUUCCGUCGAGAGAGGUGAAAUUCUCAGACCAACGGAAGACGAACCACUGCGAAAGCAUUUGCCAGGGAUGUUUUCACUGAUCAAGAACGAAAGUUAGGGGAUCGAAGACGAUCAGAUACCGUCGUAGUCUUAACCAUAAACCAUGCCGGCUAGGGAUUGGAGGAUGUUCACUGAUUGACUUCUUCAGCACCUUUCGGGAAACUAAAGCGUUUGGGUUCCGGGGGGAGUAUGGUCGCAAGGCUGAAACUUAAAGGAAUUGACGGAAGGGCACCACCAGGAGUGGAGCCUGCGGCUUAAUUUGACUCAACACGGGGAAACUUACCAGGUCCAGACGUUGUGAGGAUUGACAGAUUGAGAGCUCUUUCUUGAUUCGAUGGGUGGUGGUGCAUGGCCGUUCUUAGUUGGUGGAGUGAUUUGUCUGGUUAAUUCCGUUAACGAACGAGACCGUUGCCUAUUAAAUAGUGACGCGAACACUCU